AUUGAACGCUGGCGGCAGGCCUAACACAUGCACGUCGAACGAGUGGCGGACGGGUGAGUAAUGUCUGGGAAACUGCCCGAUGGAGGGGGAUAACUACUGGAAACGGUAGCUAAUACCGCAUACCAUCGGAUGUGCCCAGAUGGGAUUAGCUAGUAGGUGGGGUAACGGCUCACCUAGGCGCCGAUCCCUAGCUGGUCUGAGAGGAUGACCAGCCACACUGGAACUGAGACACGUGCCAGGAGCCUACGGGAGGCAGCAGUGGGGAAUAUUGCACAAUGGGCGCAAGCCUGAUGCAUCCAUGCCGCGUGUAUGAAGAAGGCCUUCGGGUUGUAAAGUACUUUCAGCGAGGAGGCGUUACUCGCAGAAGAAGCACCGGCUAACUCCGUGCCAGCAGCCGCGGUAAUAC
rnacentral:rRNA from 1 species